AAACAAUAAAUACUCUUUAUUAUUAGAUUCCCGAUGUAGAAAAGCAUAUCAUAAGUUAAAAAUAAAAAUAACACACACACUUUUUGUAGAGCAACAUUUUUGUUGGUAAAGGAUUUCUGAAGAUGACAUCGUGUAAACAAAGGCUGUUAAACAGACAAUAGGGUGAACAUUGCAUUCGCUGAACCAGUAAUAAGUAAGCAACUGUUUACUUGGAUUCAUGCUUUAAUUUCCUUGCAUAGUUUUAUUAACAAAAUGAAGGCAGUAUGUUUACAUUUUUAUAAUACUUCGAGUCUGAAGCUUAGGGCAGAAAUAGUUUUCAUCAAUUCUAUUUGCAGACACAGCUUAAUCUACUACGCUUGAAGACUACAGGGAAAUAGGAUAAUUCAAAGGCUUUACAUAAGAAGCUUAGACGUCGUUGGAUGAGGCACUCUUCAAUCAAGUUUCAGUUCUAUUCUGAAAAGCUGAUUUUCCCCUGUAGUCUUAUUGUAAAGUAAACGAAUAAUUAAAUAGUAAUUUCAAAGUUUUAUAAAUAUAAUUUGAACAUAGCCUCCAUAUCAAACCUCGUUAUAUACAAGUGUCUGUGUUACACAGGAGAGAUCAUACAAUGUUUUUAAAAUGUACAAUAUACAUACAUAAAAUAAGAUUUUAUAAAAAUCUUUUGCUUAUAAAGAAACAAGUUAUAUGCAUAACAAUCUGCCAUAAAAUAACUUUCAGUCUGUAUUCACACAAAAUGUAAGUUAGUAAAAUCUCAGUCAUUGAUGACACAUGGACAAUGAAUGAAAUUAAAAACAGAUGUUUACAACAAUAAAUACUGCCUAUUUUUUAAUUUUUUUUUUAAUCCUACUGAAUCCUGUCAAACGUUGCAGGUAUUUUCAAUGGCACAUUACUUCACUGCUUAAAUUGAAUCAAGGGAUUUUUAGAUAUUUGUUUGGAACUGGGCAUACAAAAGAAAAUUCUACAUAGAAUUAAGUGUAGACUUAGUUGUAACUACUAAAUAUUGAAAUGCCUCAUUAUGACAUCUGUCAUCAGAGACAACCCUCCCCCCCUCAUUUAAAUAAAGCUAAUAAAAUUAUCCAAUGCAUUAUAAUUCAUGUGCUUCAGAUUUUUUUACUUUUCAGUUUGAGAUCUAAUUUAACAAAGUUAAGAUGUAACUAAUAUGAGAGCACACACAACAGUGUAGAGAGCAAUUUGAAAUUAGUAUUUUAACAUGAUGUGUUUGCUAGUUAGGACAUUCCCCUGAAUGGAUUCAGUAUCUUAAAUAGAAAAAAAAGAUAUCAGUUUUAACCAUAGCAAUUUAAGAAGAUGUCCCCAUUGUUAUCAAGAUGUAUUGAUAGGAUAAAGAUGAUAUAGUAAACAAAAUUAAACAAGGCUCAGGAAUUGGUCAAAAUAAAUUUUAAGAGUCUACCCCCCCCCCCCC